rnacentral:rRNA from 1 species
AGCUACGUGUCGUGAGAUGUUGGGUUAAGUCCGUAACGAGCGCAACCCUUGUCCUUAGUUACCAGCACGUUAUGUGGGCACUCUAAGGAGACUGCCGGUGACAAACCGGAGGAAGGUGGGGAUGACGUCAAGUCAUCAUGGCCCUUACGGCCUGGGCUACACACGUGCUACAAUGGUCGGUACAAAGGGUUGCCAAGCCGCGAGGUGGAGCUAAUCCCAUAAAACCGAUCGUAGUCCGGAUCGCAGUCUGCAACUCGACUGCGUGAAGUCGGAAUCGCUAGUAAUCGUGAAUCAGAAUGUCACGGUGAAUACGUUCCCGGGCCUU